CAUCACCAUGACCAUUAUCAUAAUCACCAUGACCGCUAUAUAAUGCUUUUCUAUAUCAGCCAUCACAAUUUUCUCCAAAACCAUGACCACCGGUUACUUGGUAAUCACAGUCGCUGUUCUGGUAACCGCCACCGUUCCGAUAACCGCCGCCACUGCUGUAACUACCACCGUCACAAAUUUUUUUUGUACCUAAAUCUAUAAUUUUCGUUUUCAUAUUUUUGCCAUCAUAUCCUUCAAAACAACCACCAUCUCUUUGAUAUCUGUCACCGCCUCUUCCGCUGUAACCACUACCACCA
rnacentral:lncRNA from 1 species